rnacentral:rRNA from 1 species
GAUGUACGCUGGCGGCGUGCCUAAUACAUGCAAGUCGAGCGAACAGACGAGGAGCUUGCUCCUCUGACGUUAGCGGCGGACGGGUGAGUAACACGUGGAUAACCUACCUAUAAGACUGGGAUAACUUCGGGAAACCGGAGCUAAUACCGGAUAAUAUAUUGAACCGCAUGGUUCAAUAGUGAAAGACGGUUUUGCUGUCACUUAUAGAUGGACCCCCGCCGCAUUAGCUAGUUGGUAAGGUAACGGCUUACCAAGGCGACGAUGCGUAGCCGACCUGAGAGGGUGAUCGGCCACACUGGAACUGAGACACGGUCCAGACUCCUACGGGAGGCAGCAGUAGGGAAUCUUCCGCAAUGGGCGAAAGCCUGACGGAGCAACGCCGCGUGAGUGAUGAAGGUCUUCGGAUCGUAAAACUCUGUUAUUAGGGAAGAACAAAUGUGUAAGUAACUAUGCACGUCUUGACGGUACCUAAUCAGAAAGCCACGGCUAACUACGUG